rnacentral:rRNA from 1 species
AACCGCAAAGGGCUCAGUAAACCAGUUUUAAUUUACUAGAGUUUUUACGUUUUGUACGUGGAUACCUGUGGUAAUUCUAGAGCUAAUACAUGCAAUUAAGUCCGGACCAGAAAUGGAAAGGACGCUUUUAUUAGAUCAAAAUCAUUCGCCCGGCUUGUUCGGGCGUCGUUUUGGUGAAUCUAGAUAACACAUAAGAUCGUACAGCCUUAGUACUGACGACAUCUCUUUCAAACGCCUGACUUAUCAGCUGUCGAUGGUAGACUCUGUGUCUACCAUGGCCCUCACGGGUAACGGGGAAUCAGGGUUCGAUUCCGGAGAGGGAGCCUGAGAAACGGCUACCACAUCCAAGGAAGGCAGCAGGCACGCAAAUUACCCACUUCCGGCACGGAGAGGUAGUGACAAAAAAUAACGAUACGGGACUCUAUUGAGGCCCCGUAAUCGGAAUGAGUACACUUUAAAUCCUUUAACAAGGAUCCAUUGGAGGGCAAGUCUGGUGCCAGCAGCCGCGGUAAUUCCAGCUCCAAUAGCGUAUAUUAAAGUUGUUGCGGUUAAAAAGCUCGUAGUUGGUUCUGCGUGCCGCGCUGUCGGUUCGCCGCCUGUCGGUGUAACUGGCAUGUCGCGGCAUGUCCUGUCGGUGGUAAACGGGGGCCCCGGUGCUUCUAGCGGCUUUUUAGCCAAAGUUAGUACCGUGCGUGUUUUCGUUUGCCGAUCUCUCCUAUGUCGGUGCUCUUAAACGAGUGUCGUUAUAGGCCGACACGUUCACUUUGAACAAAUUAGAGUGCUUAAAGCAGGCUGAAAUAUCUGCCUGAAUAGUGGUGCAUGGAAUGAUAAAAUAGGACCUCGGUUCUAUUUUGUUGGUUUUAGGAAUAUGAGGUAAUGAUCAAUGUGGACAGGCGGGGGCAUUCGUAUUGCGACG